rnacentral:rRNA from 1 species
UACGAAGGGGGCUAGCGUUGUUCGGAAUUACUGGGCGUAAAGCGCACGUAGGCGGAUUGUUAAGUCAGAGGUGAAAUCCCGGAGCUCAACUUCGGAACUGCCUUUGAUACUGGCAAUCUAGAGUCCGGAAGAGGUUAGUGGAAUUCCCAGUGUAGCGGUGAAAUUCGUAGAUAUUCGGAAGAACACCAGUGGCGAAGGCGGUUCUCUGGGACGGUACUGGACGCUGAGACGCGAAAGCGUGGGGAGCGAACAGG